CUUCAGGAGGUAGUGCCGCCGGAUAUUUUGGCCCAGGUACUGGUUCAACUUCCCCGCUACAUGUCUUCCUUGGUUCAUUCCAAUCCUGGCCCCUAAAUUCAAGGAGAAAGGGGAAUCAUUAAAUUUUCAUGAAAGCAUACCCUUGUGAAUCUCCCUUGUGGGUCCACCAAUGCCAUGAGUUGAAGAUCAACAUGUCCAUAUCAAUCCAUGCCUUACCAGCAUUUAUGGAGUCCAGCGUAAGCACUCUACCAACACCUUGCUGAAUUAUAUCCACCAAAUAUGGUGUACGGUAUAGUUGUAUGGUUACUCCAUAGUCCUGCGCAAUAUCAUCAAAUAUCACUAACACAGUUUCAUUUUUGAGUGGUUCAGUGGAUAUGAAAUUUCAAAUAAUAUUGGAUACUUAGAACUGGAUAUCUAUUAGUGCAUGACAUGAUUACAUACACUAGAGAUAAAGAAUGACCAAAGGAAACACGUUGAACUCGCUUAAAAAAGUAAGAUUUCAUGCAAAAAAAAAACCUUGAAGACUUACUCAAAUACAUAUGAAUCAAAUUUUAUA